rnacentral:rRNA from 1 species
UACGAACGGUCCAAACGUUUAUUCGGAAUCACUGGGCUUAAAGCGUCCGUAGGCGGCUCGGAAAGUAGGGUGUGAAAUCCCACGGCUCAACCGAGGAAUUGCGCUCUAAACUGCCGUGCUUGAGGGACCUAGAGGUGAGCGGAACUGAUGGUGGAGCGGUGAAAUGCGUUGAUAUCGGAAGGAACGCCCGUGGCGAAAGCGGGCUCCUGGACCCCACCUGACGCUGAGACGCCGAAAGCCAGGGGAGCAAACGGG